UACAGAGACUGCAAGCGUUAUUCGGAUUCACUGGGCGUAAAGGGUGCGCAGGCGGCCAAGUGUGUGAGGCGUGAAAGCCUGGGGCUUAACUCCAGAAUUGCACCUCAAACUACAUGGCUAGAGCAUUGGAGAGGGUAGCAGAAUUCACGGUGUAGCAGUGAAAUGCGUAGAUAUCGGGAGGAACACCAGUGGCGAAGGCGGUUACCUGGGGCUUUGCUGACGCUGAUGCGCGAAAGCGUGGGGAGCGAUCCGG
rnacentral:rRNA from 1 species